rnacentral:lncRNA from 1 species
CAGGCGACGGCUUCAGCUACUCCAAGCCGGUGCCGGGCCUGCCCCUGCGGGAGUACCUCUAUGGCGGCGGCGGGGCUGAGGAGCCCUCCAGCGGGGCGCCCGAGGGCGGUGCGACCCCGGCCCCCGAGACCCCCGCCCCGCCGACGCGGGAGACCUGCUACUUUCUCAACGCCACCAUCCUGUUCCUGUUCCGGGAGCUGCGGGACACCGCGCUGACUCGCCGCUGGGUCACCAAGAAGAUCAAGGUGGAGUUUGAGGAGCUGCUGCAGACCAAGACGGCAGGGCGCCUGCUGGAGGGGCUGAGCCUGCGGGACGUGUUCCUGGGCGAGACGGUGCCCUUCAUCAAGACCAUCCGGCUCG